AGGAGCACUUGGGCUUUAGUAGAAAGAGAAAAGGCUUGAUAUGUAUUUUCUCUCAGAUCUGCAUCCAUCUUUGUUUUAGAUUACAAAAGUAACAGAGAAAAGGUCUAGAGAGAGAAAGUUCUAGAGAGAGAACGAGUAUAUGGUGAGCGAAAGGGCGAAGAGGUGCGGAGUGCUCAAUUUUUUUUUGCUGCACUCUUCCGCCAUUGUGGCUUAAUUUUCUCAGCAAUUUCGUUGAAUUUCAGUGGUUUUAGCAUGCAUUCUGCAAUGGUUGAAGAAGGUUUGGAGAGGGGAUCUAAUGGCGAGGCCUGUGAAUUUGAGGAGGAAGAAACCAGUGAAGAAGAGGAGCUUUUUGAUCUACCGAGGCACCAAGGUGGUGGUCACCGAUAACAAUCGCACCAAAUAUGUGUUGUGGGUCUUCAAGGUGCGGUGAAAAAUCCAGUUGGUCUUGGUGGAUGGAUUUGGCUUGUUCUUGGCAAUGGCAUGGAGGUGAUGUUGCAGAGAAAUGCCUCGAGAGUUAUUGAUGCCCCAUUGGUCAUGAACCAGAGAAAAGGCCUGGUUUGCUAAGAGAGAAAAAAGAGGCGUCCUCAGAUCAAAAAAUAUGAAUAUAAAAAAAUACGGGUAAUGCUAUAAAGUGGUUGAUUGAUGAUGAUGAGGGCAAAAGACAUGAAAGAUUGACAUGGGACAUAGUCAUGAAUGUCUCAGGGACAUCAGUCGACCCUCGUAGGGCCACUAGAUCUUCACAGAUGACGAAGGUGGAAGAAGAGGAGGAAGCAAAGGCAAAUUCAAAAGAGACAAAGGAGGAAGAAUAUUAUGUUAAAGAGGGAGAUGAUGACAGUGAUGAUGGCAUCGACUCCGAUGCAUAUGAUGCAGAUGCAGUUGACUCUACUUUUUUUGAUAAUGAAUGAUGAUUGAAGAUUCUUUUGAGUCUUCAAGUAUUUCUUUCAUAUUUUUUUUCCUCCUCUUGAUUGUGUAUUGUGGAUUUGUGGUUCCAUUGGUUUGAUAACUUUGAUAAAUUGGUUGGUAAGUUUUAAAAUAUGUUUAAACUGUGGAGUGUGGACUAUCGGUAUAUGGAUAAUUGGAUAUGGACUUAUGGUUAUGGUCUUAUGGAGUAUGAAGGAGUGUGUGCUGUGUUGUGUACUAUACUUUUGUUGUGCCUUAUAUCCCUAAUUAUUAUGUUUUA